AACACUCUACAAACAGAUUUCACAGAAGCCAAACGUUCUUCCCAGAGAUCCCAACUGGUCACACAAUUGAAGACAAUUUUUACAAACUCCUUCAUGACAUCUCAGCAAUAAGGUCACAACUGACAGCAUCACAAAAGAGCAUCAGUAUGUCACAGCAUUGCACCCCAUGAAAGAUUCACACAGCACCAGAGGAUGUCAGGUCUCCACACAGACCCAACAAUUUCAUGGCAGCAACAUUCUUGCACAUUUCAGCUGCAAUAGAGGAACACAACUUUUGCUCUCCUCACCAGAUUUCAGAGGAACACCAGAGAGUUUGGAAAGUGAUUCACACAGAUCCGAGAUGGCCCCCAUCACUGGCACCACAACCCGGUACUAGAAACAAAGAUAACGUUAUACUUACACCAGGCAAAAUAAAACCAUAUAAGGCAGAGA